rnacentral:ncRNA from 1 species
GUAAAGUUUGAUUAUUUCUUGAAUUUUUACGGUUUUACUGAAGUUGUAUGAGAUUUUUUAGUGUAGAAAGUUUAGUGUUUUAUACAUUAAGAGGAAGAUAAGGAAUGUUGUGUUAAUGAGGUUUUAAUUCUCAGCAUAUAUUAUUAAACAAUAUAUUAAGGUAUGAUUUAGCAGUAAAUUUGAGCCCGAUGAAAUAUUGUGCCAGCAGUCGCGGUUAGACUUUAGGGUGUAGUAAAAAGGUAUUGGUUAUUAGUUAGGUAGAGGAGGUUUAUUGGAAUGUUUAAUUGAGUAAAAGGUGAAAUUGGGUUGCUUUUAUUAAAGGUUGUGUAAACUGAAGUUGAAGCUAAAAAUUUCUAGGGUGAGACUAGGAUUAGAUACCCUAUUAUUCUAGGGAGAUAAAUGUAAAACUUGGUUAUUAAUAGUUAUAGUCUUUAAAACUAAAGGAUUUGGCGGUGAUUUAGUCUUGUCAGAGGAACCUGUUUUUGAAUCGAUACACCACGUUGAAUCUUGCUUGUCUUUGUUUUCAGUUUAUAUACCGUCAUUAGCAGAUAAUUUUAAAAGGAUUAAUUAUUGAGAUUUAAAGAUUAAAUAAGUGAAAUUAGAUCAAGGUGUAGCUAAUAGGCAAGUUGAAAUGGGUUACAAUAAUAUAUAGUUAUAAUGGAUCAUUAGAGUAAGAUUUGAGUGUGAAGGAGGAUUUGAUUGUAAUGUAAGUUUAAUAAGUUUACGUGAUAUGAGCUCUAAAUCAUGUACAUAUUGCCCGUCGCUUUCAUUUAGAGAUGAGAUAAGUCGUAACAUAGUAGGUUUACCUGAAGGUGAACCUGGUUUUAAA